rnacentral:misc_RNA from 1 species
ACUCUUAUGCUAUGUUUGUAUUGAGGAUUUCAUUUGGACUAAAUACAUGAAUAUUAUAAAUGAGAAUGAAUUUGAAUUUGGUCCAAAUCAGCUUAAAAACUAAAUACUUAAAAUAACCAUUUUUGCUUUAUCAUUUCAGCUCCAUUCCAGUAUAAUUAAAUAUAUAUCACAACUUCGCAUUUCCAUAGAAAUCAUUUUUAUUAAUUAAAUAAAAAAUUUUUAAAUUUAUAAACUUCAAAUUCUAAAUUUUAA